ensembl:misc_RNA
GAGAGAGCACUGCAAACUGAUGUCCUCUGUUUGCAGAGCCCGAGUGGCUGGGACAGCGGCAGCUUACCCACAGUGCCCUGCGCCCGUGCUUCAUCUCUGCCCUGGGAGGCCCACUUCUCAGGAUGAGAGGAUAAUUCACUCGCUAUAGCCCAUUCAAUCUUCAGCCUCU